GACGAACGCUGGCGGCGUGCUUAACACAUGCAAGUCGAACGAGAAUCUACUGAAAGAGUUUUCGGACAAUGGAUGUAGAGGAAAGUGGCGGACGGGUGAGUAACGCGUGAGGAACCUGCCUUGAAGAGGGGGACAACAGUUGGAAACGACUGCUAAUACCGCAUGAUGCAUAGGGAUCGCAUGAUUCUUAUGCCAAAGAUUUAUCGCUUCAAGAUGGCCUCGCGUCUGAUUAGCUAGUUGGCGGGGUAACGGCCCACCAAGGCGACGAUCAGUAGCCGGACUGAGAGGUUGAACGGCCACAUUGGGACUGAGAUACGGCCCAGACUCCUACGGGAGGCAGCAGUGGGGAAUAUUGGGCAAUGGGCGCAAGCCUGACCCAGCAACGCCGCGUGAAGGAAGAAGGCUUUCGGGUUGUAAACUUCUUUUAAGAGGGAAGAGCAGAAGACGGUACCUCUAGAAUAAGCCACGGCUAACUACGUG
rnacentral:rRNA from 1 species